GAUGAAGAACGUAGCAAAAUGCGAUACUUGGUGUGAAUUGCAGAAUCCCGUGAACCAUCGAGUUUUUGAACGCAAGUUGCGCCCGAAGCCUUUUGGCCGAGGGCACGUCUGCCUGGGCGUCACGCAUCGCGUCGCCCCCCACAAUUCUCUGUAAAGGGAACUCGUGUUUUGGGGGCGGAUAUUGGUCUCCCGUGCUCAUGGCGUGGUUGGCCGAAAUAGGAGUCCCUUCGAUGGACGCACGAACUAGUGGUGGUCGUAAAAACCCUCGUCUUUUGUUGCGUGCUGUUAGUCGCAAGGGAACCUCUAAGAAAACCCCAACGUGUCGUCUUUUGACGGCGCUUCGACCGCGACCCCAGGUCAGGCGGGACUACCCGCUGAGUUUAAGCAUAUCAAUAAGCGGAGGA
rnacentral:misc_RNA from 1 species